rnacentral:rRNA from 1 species
CGGUUAAGUUAGAAAGGGCGCACGGUGGAUGCCUUGGCACUAGGAGCCGAUGAAGGACGGGACGAACACCGAUAUGCUUCGGGGAGCUGUAAGCAAGCUUUGAUCCGGAGAUUUCCGAAUGGGGAAACCCACCACUCGUAAUGGAGUGGUAUCCAUAUCUGAAUACAUAGGAUAUGAGAAGGCAGACCCGGGGAACUGAAACAUCUAAGUACCCGGAGGAAGAGAAAGCAAAUGCGAUUCCCUGAGUAGCGGCGAGCGAAACGGGACCAGCCCAAACCAAGAGGCUUGCCUCUUGGGGUUGUAGGACACUCUGUACGGAGUUACAAAGGAACGAGGUAGAUGAAGAGGUCUGGAAAGGCCCGCCAUAGGAGGUAACAGCCCUGUAGUCAAAACUUCGUUCUCUCCUGAGUGGAUCCUGAGUACGGCGGAACACGUGAAAUUCCGUCGGAAUCCGGGAGGACCAUCUCCCAAGGCUAAAUACUCCCUAGUGACCGAUAGUGAACCAGUACCGUGAGGGAAAGGUGAAAAGCACCCCGGAAGGGGAGUGAAAGAGAUCCUGAAACCGUGUGCCUACAAGUAGUCAGAGCCCGUUAACGGGUGAUGGCGUGCCUUUUGUAGAAUGAACCGGCGAGUUACGAUCCCGUGCAAGGUUAAGCAGAAGAUGCGGAGCCGCAGCGAAAGCGAGUCUGAAUAGGGCGAAUUGAGUACGUGGUCGUAGACCCGAAACCAGGUGAUCUACCCAUGUCCAGGGUGAAGUUCAGGUAACACUGAAUGGAGGCCCGAACCCACGCACGUUGAAAAGUGCGGGGAUGAGGUGUGGGUAGGGGUGAAAUGCCAAUCGAACCUGGAGAUAGCUGGUUCUCUCCGAAAUAGCUUUAGGGCUAGCCUCAAGGUAAGAGUCUCGGAGGUAGAGCACUGAUUGGACUAGGGGCCCCUACCGGGUUACCGAAUUCAGUCAAACUCCGAAUGCCGAUGACUUAUCCUUGGGAGUCAGACUGCGAGUGAUAAGAUCCGUAGUCGAAAGGGAAACAGCCCAGACCGCCAGCUAAGGUCCCAAAGUAUACGUUAAGUGGAAAAGGAUGUGGAGUUGCUUAGACAACCAGGAUGUUGGCUUAGAAGCAGCCACCAUUUAAAGAGUGCGUAAUAGCUCACUGGUCGAGUGACUCUGCGCCGAAAAUGUACCGGGGCUAAACGUAUCACCGAAGCUGCGGACUGUUCUUCGAACAGUGGUAGGAGAGCGUUCUAAGGGCUGUGAAGCAAGACCGGAAGGACUUGUGGAGCGCUUAGAAGUGAGAAUGCCGGUAUGAGUAGCGAAAGAGGGGUGAGAAUCCCCUCCACCGAAUGCCUAAGGUUUCCUGAGGAAGGCUCGUCCGCUCAGGGUUAGUCGGGACCUAAGCCGAGGCCGAAAGGCGUAGGCGAUGGAUAACAGGUUGAUAUUCCUGUACCACCUCCUCACCAUUUGAGCAAUGGGGGGACGCAGGAGGAUAGGGUAAGCGCGGUAUUGGAUAUCCGCGUCCAAGCAGUUAGGCUGGGAAAUAGGCAAAUCCGUUUCCCGUGAAGGCUGAGCUGUGAUGGCGAGCGAAUUAUAGUAGCGAAGUUCCUGAUUCCACACUGCCAAGAAAAGCCUCUAGCGAGGUGAGAGGUGCCCGUACCGCAAACCGACACAGGUAGGCGAGGAGAGAAUCCUAAGGUGAUCGAGAGAACUCUCGUUAAGGAACUCGGCAAAAUGACCCCGUAACUUCGGGAGAAGGGGUGCUCUGUUAGGGUGCAAGCCCGAGAGAGCCGCAGUGAAUAGGCCCAGGCGACUGUUUAGCAAAAACACAGGUCUCUGCGAAGCCGUAAGGCGAAGUAUAGGGGCUGACGCCUGCCCGGUGCUGGAAGGUUAAGAGGAGCGCUUAGCGUAAGCGAAGGUGCGAAUUGAAGCCCCAGUAAACGGCGGCCGUAACUAUAACGGUCCUAAGGUAGCGAAAUUCCUUGUCGGGUAAGUUCCGACCCGCACGAAAGGCGCAACGAUCUGGGCACUGUCUCAACGAGAGACUCGGUGAAAUUAUAGUACCUGUGAAGAUGCAGGUUACCCGCGACAGGACGGAAAGACCCCGUGGAGCUUUACUGCAGCCUGAUAUUGAAUGUUGGUACAGCUUGUACAGGAUAGGUAGGAGCCUUGGAAACCGGAGCGCCAGCUUCGGUGGAGGCAUCGGUGGGAUACUACCCUGGCUGUAUUGACCUUCUAACCCGCCGCCCUUAUCGGGCGGGGAGACAGUGUCAGGUGGGCAGUUUGACUGGGGCGGUCGCCUCCUAAAAGGUAACGGAGGCGCCCAAAGGUUCCCUCAGAAUGGUUGGAAAUCAUUCGCAGAGUGUAAAGGCACAAGGGAGCUUGACUGCGAGACCUACAAGUCGAGCAGGGACGAAAGUCGGGCUUAGUGAUCCGGUGGUUCCGCAUGGAAGGGCCAUCGCUCAACGGAUAAAAGCUACCCCGGGGAUAACAGGCUUAUCUCCCCCAAGAGUCCACAUCGACGGGGAGGUUUGGCACCUCGAUGUCGGCUCAUCGCAUCCUGGGGCUGUAGUCGGUCCCAAGGGUUGGGCUGUUCGCCCAUUAAAGCGGUACGCGAGCUGGGUUCAGAACGUCGUGAGACAGUUCGGUCCCUAUCCGUCGCGGGCGCAGGAAAUUUGAGAGGAGCUGUCCUUAGUACGAGAGGACCGGGAUGGACGCACCGCUGGUGUACCAGUUGUUCUGCCAAGGGCAUCGCUGGGUAGCUAUGUGCGGACGGGAUAAGUGCUGAAAGCAUCUAAGCAUGAAGCCCCCCUCAAGAUGAGAUUUCCCAUUCCGCAAGGAAGUAAGAUCCCUGAAAGAUGAUCAGGUUGAUAGGUCUGAGGUGGAAGUGUGGCGACAGCAUGGAGCUGACAGAUACUAAUCGAUCGAGGACUUAACCAA